AAUGGCAUAUCUCGAAUUUGAGUUAUUUUCUCUCCUAUUACCGUGUCUUGUCCGUAAGGAGUGUUUUUGCGCAUAUUGCGAUAAUUAAUUGAGCGCUUCUAAGAGAAGAUUUUAAAUCGUCUAACUUCCCGUUCGGUCACCCAUCCUCUCACUGCUUCAGACCUAGCACGCUUAACUUUCUGGUUCUAUCGCCGCUAUUUGCCAAGUCUGCACUC
rnacentral:lncRNA from 1 species